AGCUCACCAAGGCGACGAUCGGUAGCUGGUCUGAGAGGAUGAUCAGCCACACUGGGAUUGAGAACGGCCCAGACUCCUACGGGGGGCAGCAGUGAGGAAUUUUCGUCAAUGGGGGAAACCCUGAACGAGCAACGCCGCGUGCAGGAAGAAGGUUUUCGGAUCGUAAACUGCUUUUCUCUGGGACGAGAACGGACGGUACCAGAGGAAUCAGCCCCGGCUAACUACGUGCCAGCAGCCGCGGUAAUACGUAGGGGGCAAGCGUUGUCCGGAUUUAUUGGGCGUAAAGCGCACGCAGGCGGUCUGCCAAGUUCGGAGUGACAGUUUCCGGCUUAACCGGAAAAGGUCUUCGAAAACUGGUGGACUUGAGGACUUGAGGGGGAGACGGAAUUCCGGGUGGAGCGGUGAAAUGCGUAGAGAUCCGGAGGAACACCGAAAGCGAAGGCAGUCUCCUGGCAAGUUUCUGACGCUCAGGUGCGAAAGCUAGGGGAGCGAACAGGAUUAGAUACCCUGGUAGUCCUAGCCGUAAACGAUGACCACUAGGCGUAGGAGGUAUCGACCCCUUCUGUGCCGCAGCUUACGCACUAAGUGGUCCGCCUGGGGAGUACGGUCGCAAGAUUA
rnacentral:rRNA from 1 species